rnacentral:rRNA from 1 species
GAUCCUGGCUCAGGAUGAACGCUAGCUACAGGCCUAACACAUGCAAGUCGAGGGGCAUCGCGGCGAGGAGCAAUCCUUUCCGGCGGCGACCGGCGGAUGGGUGAGUAACGCGUAUCCAACCUGCCCCGCGCUCGGGCACAGCCCCUGGAAACGGGGAGUGACUCCCGAUGGCGCCCCUCCGCCGCAUGGUGGUGGGGCUAAAUUUCGAGGCGCGGGAUGGGGGUGCGUCCGAUUAGGUUGUUGGCGGGGCAACGGCCCACCAAGCCAGUGAUCGGUAGGGGUUCUGAGAGGAAGGUCCCCCACACUGGAACUGAGACACGGUCCAGACUCCUACGGGAGGCAGCAGUGAGGAAUAUUGGACAAUGGCCGGAAGGCUGAUCCAGCCAUGCCGCGUGCGGGAAGACGGCCCUAUGGGUUGUAAACCGCUUUUGUUGGGGAGCAAUAAGGUCCACGUGUGGAUUGAUGAGAGUACCCAGCGAAUAAGCAUCGGCUAACUCCGUGCC